rnacentral:rRNA from 1 species
GCAGCCGCCGCGGUAAAACAGAGGGUGCAAGCGUUAAUCGGAUUUACUGGGCGUAAAGGGCGCGUAGGUGGUUAUUUAAGUGAGAUGUGAAAGCCCCGGGCUUAACCUGGGAACUGCAUCUUAUACUGGGUAACUGGAGUGCAGUAGAGGGUAGUGGAAUUUCCGGUGUAGCGGUGAAAUGCGUAGAUAUCGGAAGGAACACCAGUGGCGAAGGCGGCUACCUGGACUGAGACUGACACUGAGGCGCGAGAGCGUGGGGAGCAAACAGGAUUAGAUACCCGCGUAGUCCCUGUCUCUUUUAC